rfam:Gossypium hirsutum cultivar TM-1 chromosome 5, whole genome shotgun sequence
UGCUAAAAAUUUCAUCCAUUUCUAUUGUUAAAAACUAACGUGGCUGAUUGAAUAAUUAGAUAGUUGCAUGUGGCGUGCCACGCAUACCUCAUUUUGAUGUGUAAAUACCAGUUUUUAACUAUGGAAAUAGAUGAAACUUUUAACA